UACGUAGGGGGCUAGCGUUGUCCGGAAUCAUUGGGCGUAAAGAGCGUGUAGGCGGCCCGGUAAGUCCGCUGUGAAAGUCGGGGGCUCAACCCUCGAAUGCCGGUGGAUACUGUCGGGCUAGAGUGCGGAAGAGGGUCGUGGAAUUCCCAGUGUAGAGGUGAAAUUCGUAGAUAUUGGGAAGAACACCGGUGGCGAAGGCGGCGACCUGGUCCUUGACUGACGCUGAGGCGCGAAAGCGUGGGGAGCAAACAGG
rnacentral:rRNA from 1 species